rnacentral:rRNA from 1 species
UACGUAGGGGGCUAGCGUUGUCCGGAAUUAUUGGGCGUAAAGCGCGUGUAGGCGGUUCAAUAAGUCUGCUGUAAAAGUCGGGGGCUCAACCCCCGAAAGCCGGUGGAUACUGUUGGACUAGAGUACGGAAGAGGCGAGUGGAACUCCUGGUGUAGCGGUGGAAUGCGCAGAUAUCAGGAAGAACACCAGCGGCGAAGGCAGCUCGCUGGGACGGUACUGACGCUGAGACGCGAAAGCGUGGGGAGCGAACAGG